rnacentral:sRNA from 1 species
AGUGCGGCUCCAACAGUGGCGCGGAGGCCUGUGUUUGCGGCCUCCGGCAAGCGACUAAAAUGGCGAGCGCAACUGCACCUGCAGCCGCAGUCCCCACCCUGGCUUCGCCUCUGGGGCAGCUCCGGCACUUGGCGGAGGAGCUGCGGUUGCUCCUGCCUCGAGUGCGGGUCGGCGAAGCCCAGGAGACCACCGAGGAGUUUAAUCGAGAGAUGUUCUGGAGAAGACUCAAUGAGGCAGCUGUGACAGUGUCAAGGGAAGCCACGACUCUGACCACAGUCUUCUCUCAGCUUCCACUGCCGUCUGCACAGGAAACCCAGAAGUUCUGUGAACAGGUCCAUGCUGCCAUCAAGGCAUUUAUUGCAGUGUACUAUUUGCUUCCAAAGGAUCAGGGUAAGCCACAUAAGUGUUGCAUUUAUUGUGUAGAUCUUUGCUAAUAUUGUGGAUUAUGUCUUGUGACUUUUACCUUUACCCAACUUGAACAUGUAACUUUCUCCCAUAAAAUACAGUCAAGGAUAAUUUUGUAAUAUAAGUGACUUAUAUAAACAAGCCAUUAUUCUAAGAUACAGAUGCUUUGUU